UAUCUUGUUUUCUUUACCUCUCCGACUUCUAGAGGAAAAGAAUAUGGUUUUAUUUAAAGAACAGAGUUUCAAGGUCUUUUCUGAAAUUAGGUCAUUGGCUUUUAAGAUGUUGCUCCAUAUUUUUUCUAAUAGCUUUCUUUGUAAACAAUAUUGUUUUAAUUAUUUAUAACAAGGAACUUAUCUUUUCGAAGCUCAAGUUCUCGAGGCA
rnacentral:lncRNA from 1 species